GACGAACGCUGGCGGCGUGCUUAACACAUGCAAGUCGAACGGAAAGGCCCUGCUUUUGUGGGGUGCUCGAGUGGCGAACGGGUGAGUAACACGUGAGUAACCUGCCCUUGACUUUGGGAUAACUUCAGGAAACUGGGGCUAAUACCGGAUAGGAGCUCCUGCUGCAUGGUGGGGGUUGGAAAGUUUCGGCGGUUGGGGAUGGACUCGCGGCUUAUCAGCUUGUUGGUGGGGUAGUGGCUUACCAAGGCUUUGACGGGUAGCCGGCCUGAGAGGGUGACCGGGCACAUUGGGACUGCGAUACGGCGCAGACUCCUACGGGAGGCAGCAGUGGGGAAUAUUGCACAAUGGGCGGGAGCGUGAUGCAGCAACGCCGCGUGCGGGAUGACGGCCUUCGGGUUGUAAACCGCUUUCGCCUGUGACGAAGCGUGAGUGACGGUAAUGGGUAAAGAAGCACCGGCUAACUACGUG
rnacentral:rRNA from 1 species